UGACGACGAUGACGACGACGACGACGAUGACGAUGACGAUGACGAUGACGAUGACGAUGACGAUGACGACGAUGACGACGACGACGACGACGAUGAUGAUGAUCAUGAAGAGUUAUGAGCACUCUGGGGAAAUUGAACUGGCCCAUCUGAAGUCCAACUGUCCGAAGUCCUUCGUACAGUACACUAGAUAUGAACUUGCGGACUGCAGAAGCAUUGAUUUGAGAGAGAGAAAGAACAAAAAAACUGUUUCACACAAACCAAGCCUGACUUGGGAAUCAGUCAUUGGGGUCACUAGUCUGAGAUCUUUUGAUUUGUGUUUCGUUUGAAAGAAUGGUUCCUCAACUAGGAUCUUCCUUUCUCAUUUGUUUUGGAUCAGAUUGACCUGCAUUUGUGUCUUUAUGUGAACCUACAGAGAAAGAAAGAGAGACAGCGAUAUUGGGGAUGGGGGAUCGGGGUGCUAGAGAAACAGACAAAGGGAGAAUAAAGCGCGAGGGGAGGUGCAGGAGGGCCACUACCUAAAUUCAUUCAUUUAAAAGCUUAGAAUAUCAACAGAUGUAAAGUUUCUCUCUUUCUCCAUAUCUCUCAAUCUCUUUCUUUCUCUGUGGAGCAUUUUGCAGCUGUCUGUUAAAGAGCCAUGUAAUGCACUUGUAAAAUUGCUAAACACAGAUAAGGUAAUAGAAUAACUUUCAAUGUAUCUAUGAACUUUACUAAUCAUGUCUCUUUAUUUUCUAAAACGCUAAUUUUCUGAACCAUUAGAUAAAAAGAUAACUUUUGAUGCACAUGUCAGUAGCUUAUUUUAAUGAUGAAUAUUUGUUUUGAGUUUUGAGCAAUUCCCCCCUUACUAUUUAAUGGUUAUUUGGCAAUUCAAUACAAAUAUUUGAGUCAUUUGUGAAAGUAGGCUGAAGAUAUGUAUAACUCCCCACUUGUUAUCAAAUGUUACAACAGUGGAUUUGCUGAUGAUUUUUCAGACCUUCAGGGAGAGAGUGUUUGGGAAAAGAGAGAAACAUCUCUUUCUAUAAAGGAAGUAAAAGAGCUAAAGCUCUGUCAAAUGUCAAAUUUGUCAAGAGAUGAAAUGGUUGUAUGCUUUUUUUCUCUUCUUCUUUGGCAAAAACAUUUUUUGUGAUGACUGAACAUUGAUGUGUGGAAAAUAUGACAAUCACCACUGUCCUUAUGUCGUCAACCCAACUUUCAUUCAUUAAAUAAAUCAAAUGAUCAUAAACUGCCUACAUUUCAAAUCUGUUACCAAAGAUUUGUACUAGAGCUAUAACAAUGCAUGGAGAGCAUCAUUACUUUUUAUCAGAGGCCUGUAAACAUGUGUUUGGUCAUAUUACCUGUAUGAGGACCAGAAUGCUGAGCUACAGACAUUUGAAACCUGUGAGUAUCUGUUCUGACCACAGCAUGUUCUAUAUCAACUGUUGGGCACAAAUGUAAUACGGCUGCAAUAUACUUAAAUAAAAUUAAGAGUCUGACACAGA